rnacentral:rRNA from 1 species
GACGAACGCUGGCGGCGUGCUUAACACAUGCAAGUCGAACGGAAAGGCCCUGCUUUUGUGGGGUGCUCGAGUGGCGAACGGGUGAGUAACACGUGAGUAACCUGCCCUUGACUUUGGGAUAACUUCAGGAAACUGGGGCUAAUACCGGAUCGGAGCUCCUGCUGCAUGGUGGGGGUUGGAAAGUUUCGGCGGUUGGGGAUGGACUCGCGGCUUAUCAGCUUGUUGGUGGGGUAGUGGCUUACCAAGGCUUUGACGGGUAGCCGGCCUGAGAGGGUGACCGGCAACAUUGGGACUGAGAGACGGCCCAGACGCCUACGGGAGGCAGCAGUGGGGAAUAUUGCACAAUGGGCGGAAGCCUGAUGCAGCAACGCCGCGUGCGGGAUGACGGCCUUCGGGUUGUAAACCGCUUUCGCCUGUGACGAAGCGUGAGUGACGGUAAUGGGUAAAGAAGCACCGGCUAACUACGUG